AACGGGGGGCACCUCCAUCCCGGGGUAUUUACAUCACAUAUAUGGGCAACUAUAUAUAGUAAAUAUACCAUGAGCAUACUGGACAUGACCCGAAAGAUGGUGAACUAUGCCUGAUCAGGUUGAAGUCAGGGGAAACCCUGAUGGAGGACCGAAGCAAUUCUGACGUGCAAAUCG
rnacentral:rRNA from 1 species